rnacentral:misc_RNA from 1 species
AACCAUAGAAACCUGCGGAGUACCUGCGGAGGGAUCAUUACCGAGUUUACAACUCCCAAACCCCUGUGAACAUACCAAUUGUUGCCUCGGCGGAUCAGCCCGCUCCCGGUAAAACGGGACGGCCCGCCAGAGGACCCCUAAACUCUGUUUCUAUAUGUAACUUCUGAGUAAAACCAUAAAUAAAUCAAAACUUUCAGCAACGGAUCU